rnacentral:ncRNA from 1 species
GUCUUUGGGGCAGGGUGCGAUUCCCGACCGAUGGUGAAAGUCCAUGAACCUCCUUUGCGAGGCCGACCCGGUGCGAUUCCGGGACCGACGGUACAGUCCGGAUGGGAAAAGAC